rnacentral:rRNA from 1 species
AGUAAGUGUUCGUAGGGAAACGUGCCUGAUGGGGAGGGGAGUAUACUGGAAACGGUAGCUAAUACCGCAUAACGUCGCAAGACCAAAGAGGGGGACCUUCGGGCCUCUUGCCAUCGGAUGUGCCCAGAUGGGAUUAGCUAGUAGGUGGGGUAACGGCUCACCUAGGCGACGAUCCCUAGCUGGUCUGAGAGGAUGACCAGCCACACUGGAACUGAGACACGGUCCAG